GACAAGUUACAUUGUCAUAUCAUCAGUAGUUUGGAAAUUGCACUUAAACUGUUGCAUCAUGUGCUACACUAAACAUCCAUAUGUAACAAACAUAAUUGACAUCUAACUUGAAUUGGACAGCCAUAGAAACGGCUUCGUGUUAAAGUUCCUUCAGAAGCCACACACUUAACAUGCCUCAUGUGGUGCAGAGUACAUUUGAGUUCAGAAAGCUCAAGUUGGC
rnacentral:lncRNA from 1 species